rnacentral:rRNA from 1 species
UGGUGGAGUGAUUUGUCUGGUUAAUUCCGUUAACGAACGAGACCGCUGCCUGAUAAAUAGCCCAGUGAGUGAAUUUUCACUGACUGCUGGCUUCUUAGAGGGACGUGCAUUCUAUUAGAUGCAGGAAGAUAGCGGCAAUAACA